UAACCCGAUGGUCGGCGACUCUUAGUGUCUAUAGAUUACUCCUUGGCAGUGCAAAUCCAUUACUCCUUGACACUGCAAAUCCAAUGUUAUUGUGCGCGUGGCUUAUGUAAUUGAGUUCCUAUGCCACUGUCAUGGCUGGAGAAUUCGGAUGGAGAUACAACAAUAAAAUAGGGACUUGGAUGCAGAACGUCGGGCGGCCUUAAGAGCUACAGAGACAUUAGAAUAGUCACAAGCCGUCUCAUGCGUACAUUACAGCUUUCAAGAGGCUUGAACGACGGCUGUACGACAGAGAGUAGUACAUUUACAUGUGGAGCGCAGGAAGUUUUGGUAUACACAUUGCACGUGAAUAACUCCGUGACAUCAUAGAAAUGCCAGUCGUGUCAUUAUUUGCCACAACAAACUUGGACAUAACCAUAUAGCAAUGAAAAUGGACUACGCUCAGUAACGAAUAUAGGAAAAACUUAUCGAAGUGCUUAAAAACGAAAAGAAUGAAAGAAAAAUUAGCAAAUGGACAGCAUGUCCUAC